rnacentral:rRNA from 1 species
UACGUAGGGUGCGAGCGUUGUCCGGAUUUAUUGGGCGUAAAGAGCUCGUAGGCGGCUUGUCGCGUCGACUGUGAAAUCCCGCGGCUCAACUGCGGGUCUGCAGUCGAUACGGGCAGGCUAGAGUUCGGUAGGGGAGACUGGAAUUCCUGGUGUAGCGGUGAAAUGCGCAGAUAUCAGGAGGAACACCGAUGGCGAAGGCAGGUCUCUGGGCCGAUACUGACGCUGAGGAGCGAAAGCGUGGGGAGCAAACAGG